UACGGAGGGUGCAAGCGUUAUCCGGAUUCACUGGGUUUAAAGGGUGCGUAGGUGGGCUUGUAAGUCAGUGGUGAAAUCUCCGUGCUUAACAUGGAAACUGCCAUUGAUACUAUAGGUCUUGAAUCUUCUGGAGGUCAGCGGAAUAUGUCAUGUAGCGGUGAAAUGCUUAGAUAUGACAUAGAACACCAAUUGCGAAGGCAGCUGACUACGGGGGCAUUGACACUGAGGCACGAAAGCGUGGGGAGCAAACAGG
rnacentral:rRNA from 1 species